rnacentral:rRNA from 1 species
CAGAAUGAACGCUGGCGGCAUGGAUUAGGCAUGCAAGUCGAACGGUAACAGGGGAGCUUGCUCCCGCUGACGAGUGGCGAACGGGUGAGUAACGCGUGAGUUACCUGCCUUAAGGUUGGGGAUAGCCCCGCGAAAGCGGGAUUAAUACCGAAUGUGGCGUCCUCCUGAUCGGAGGAUUGCUAAAGGAGCAAUUCGCCUUAAGAUGGGCUCGCGUCCUAUUAGCUUGUUGGUGAGGUAACGGCUCACCAAGGCUACGACAGGUAAGUGGUCUGAGAGGAUGGUCACCCACACUGGGACUGAGACACUGCCCAGACUCCUACGGGAGGCUGCAGUCGAGAAUCUUCCGCAAUGCGCGAAAGCGUGACGGAGCGAUGCCGCGUGAGGGAUGAAGGCUUUCGGGUCGUAAACCUCUGUCACCCGGGAUGAAUACUGACAGUACCGGGAGAGGAAGCCACGGCUAACUACGUGCCAGCAGCCGCGGUAAUACGUAGGUGGCGAGCGUUAUUCGGAUUUAUUGGGCGUAAAGGGUCCGUAGGGGGUUUGUUAAGUUUGAUGUGAAAGCCCACGGCUCAACCGUGGAACUGCAUUGAAAACUGACAGACUAGAGCAUAGGAGAGGAGAGUGGAAUUCCUGGUGUAGCGGUGGAAUGCGUAGAUAUCAGGAGGAACAUCGAAGGCGAAGGCAGCUCUCUGGACUAUUGCUGACCCUCAUGGACGAAAGCUAGGGGAGCGAACAGGAUUAGAUACCCUGGUAGUCCUAGCCGUAAACGUUGUGCACUAGGUGUGGGGGGAAUUGACCCCCUCCGCGCCCCAAGCUAACGCGAUAAGUGCACCGCCUGGGGAGUACGACGGCACGUUAAAACUCAUAGGAAUUGACGGGGACCCGCACAAGCGGUGGAGCAUGUGGCUU